GAUGAACGCUGGCGGCGUGCCUAAUACAUGCAAGUCGAGCGAACAGACGAGGCGCUUGCUCCUCUGACGUUAGCGGCGGACGGGUGAGUAACACGUGGAUAACCUACCUAUAAGACUGGGAUAACUUCGGGACACCGGAGCUAAUACCGGAUAACAUGUUGAACCGCAUGGUUCAACAGUGAAAGACGGUCUUGCUGUCACUUAUAGCUGGAUCCGCGCCGCAUUAGCUAGUUGGUAAGGUAACGGCUUACCAAGGCGACGAUGCGUAGCCGACCUCAGAGAGGGAUCGGCGACACUGGAGCUGGAACAGGGUCCAUGGUCCUACGGGAGGCAGCAGUAGGCAACCGUACGCAAUAGGCGGAAGCCUGACGGAGCAACGCCGCGUGAGUGAAGAAGAUCUUCGGAUCGUGAAACUCUGUUAUUAGGGAAGAACAAAUGUGUAAGUAACUAUGCACGUCUUGACGGUACCUAAUCAGAAAGCCACGGCUAACUACGUG
rnacentral:rRNA from 1 species